rnacentral:lncRNA from 1 species
AAUUUCCUGACAUCGCAACUUUGGCUAACAGUUAUUCAUAUCUGUGUAACCACAUAUCUGGUUAGGAGCUCUGACUCCUUGGAACUCUCAGCCAGAGUCCAUCCAGCAUGCAUGUGAAAGGAAUCAUACUUAACUCCCACCAUCA